rnacentral:rRNA from 1 species
GGACUACUGGGGUAUCUAAUCCUGUUCGCUCCCCACGCUUUCGCUCCUCAGUGUCAGUAUCGGCCCAGAGUGCCGCCUUCGCUACGGGUGUUCCUCCUGAUCUCUGCGCAUUUCACCGCUCCACCAGGAAUUCCACACUCCUCUACCGAACUCUAGUCACGGCAGUAUCGAAUGACCCCUCCAAGUUGAGCCUGGAGAUUUCACAUCCGACUUACCGAACCACCUACGAGCUCUUUACGCCCAAUAAAUCCGGACAACGCUCGCCCCCUACGUAUUACCGCGGCUGCUGGCAC